rfam:Picea glauca, whole genome shotgun sequence.
ACAUGCCUACAACAUAGCGUUAAUGAACCAGAUCCCAUUAGAACUCUGCAGUUAAGUGUGCUCAGGCUAGAGUAGUACUGGGAUGGGUGACCGCCUGGGAAGUCCUAAUGUUUUACAUGCC